rnacentral:rRNA from 1 species
AAAACGACUCUCGGCAACGGAUAUCUCGGCUCUCGCAUCGAUGAAGAACGUAGCGAAAUGCGAUACUUGGUGUGAAUUGCAGAAUCCCGUGAACCAUCGAGUCUUUGAACGCAAGUUGCGCCNGAAGCNNUCAGGCCGAGGGCACGUCUGCCUGGGCGUCACGC